rnacentral:rRNA from 1 species
GCGGAAUAUUGGUCAAUGGGCGAGAGCCUGAACCAGCCAAGUAGCGUGAAGGAUGAAGGCUCUAUGGGUCGUAAACUUCUUUUAUAUGGGAAUAAAGUUUUCCACGUGUGGAAUUUUGUAUGUACCAUAUGAAUAAGGAUCGGCUAACUCC